rnacentral:rRNA from 1 species
UACGGAGGGGACUAGCGUUGUUCGGAAUUAGUCGUGGCGUAAAGCGUCACGUAGGCGGAUUUGUAAGUCAGGGGUGAAAUCCGGGGCUCAACUCCGGAUACUGCGGUGGGUACGGGCAGACUAGAGUGAUGUAGGGGAGACUGGAAUUCCUGGUGUAGCGGUGAAAUGCGCAGAUAUCAGGAGGAACACCGGUGGCGAAGGCGGGUCUCUGGCCGAUACUGACGCUGAGGAGCGAAAGCGUGGGAGCGAACAGG